CAUGCAAGUCGAGCGGACCUUUUAAAAGCUUGCUUUUGAAAGGUCAGCGGCGGACGGGUGAGUAACACGUGGGCAACCUGCCUGUAAGACUGGGAUAACUUCGGGAAACCGGAGCUAAUACCGGAUAAUAUAAGGAACCUCCUGGUUCUUUAUUGAAAGAUGGUUUCGGCUAUCACUUACAGAUGGGCCCGCGGCGCAUUAGCUAGUUGGUGAGGUAACGGCUCACCAAGGCGACGAUGCGUAGCCGACCUGAGAGGGUGAUCGGCCACACUGGGACUGAGACACGGCCCAGACUCCUACGGGAGGCAGCAGUAGGGAAUCUUCCACAAUGGACGAAAGUCUGAUGGAGCAACGCCGCGUGAGCGAUGAAGGCCUUCGGGUCGUAAAGCUCUGUUGUUAGGGAAGAACAAGUGCGAGAGUAACUGCUCGCACCUUGACGGUACCUAACCAGAAAGCCACGGCUAACUACGUGCCAGCAGCCGCGGUAAUACGUAGGUGGCAAGCGUUGUCCGGAAUUAUUGGGCGUAAAGCGCGCGCAGGUGGUCCUUUAAGUCUGAUGUGAAAGCCCACGGCUCAACCGUGGAGGGUCAUUGGAAACUGGGGGACUUGAGUGCAGAAGAGGAAAGUGGAAUUCCAAGUGUAGCGGUGAAAUGCGUAGAGAUUUGGAGGAACACCAGUGGCGAAGGCGACUUUCUGGUCUGUAACUGACACUGAGGCGCGAAAGCGUGGGGAGCAAACAGGAUUAAAUACCCUGGUAGUCCACGCCGUAAACGAUGAGUGCUA
rnacentral:rRNA from 1 species